AAUAACUUUGCAGUUUUCCCUAGCUUCUUUUCAUUUUCCAUUUCUCUUUUUGUUUCCCUCUUUUCUCUUCAUUUCUUUUCCUAUUUUCUCAUUUCUUCUCAUUUCUGCAUUUCCACAGAAAAAUAGCAAAUUUCUCCCCUCUUUGCUAAAGCGUUUAUCAUAUUCACAUUAGGGAUUUUGAUUUCACCUAUUUGAUAUUCACUUUUUUCUUAAAUUUUUUAGAUUUUCAUAGUUAGGGUUUUUGUUAACCUAUUUUUUUCCUUAAUCUCAUUAAUCCCUCUUACCUGUAUGCUGAAAUUGUUUUUAGUUGUAUUGAUAUUAAUACAUUGGAAUUCAUUGUGUUGUUAGGUUAGAGUUUUAUACAGAUUGAGAAGAUUGAGAAGAUUUCAUCUACCCUUGUACCAGAAAAGGAUCCGUCAACACAAAUUGCUUCCUCUGAGAAUUGAACACCUUGUUUUGUAAGGACUCUCAGCUGACUUAGUGGAGGCGGGAAGUUGCCUCUCAUUGCUAGAUAAUUGUUGUUUCCGAGCAACAAAAGUAUUGUGGUCACCUUAGUAGCUUGCGGUUCUAGAUCAAAGGAACAUGGUGUAUUAUAUAGCAGCAGAAGAACUGGUUCUUUGUCCUCCUCACCUUGUAAUUAUACUUAAAGUAUCAAAAUUGAAAUAAUGUGUUUAAAAGCCUGAUCUUCAUUUUUCAACAACUUAGCUAUGCCUAUAGUGCAUCUGUGCAAUGAACACUAUCAUGUGUAGUUAGUCUCUUGUUUUGGUCUGUAAGACAAUAAUGUAUUUUGUGUCUAUGUAAUUUCUUGCCAAUAAUAUAAUAUAAAACUUUUGAUUCUUUGAACA